UACGAGUGGUGCAAGCGUUAUUCGGAAUUAUUGGGCGUAAAGGGUGCGUAGGCGGCAUAUUAAGUCAACUGUUAAAUUCCUCGGCCUAACCGAGGCUCUGCGGUAGAUACUGAUGUGCUAGAGGGUGGAAGAGAGAAGUGGAAUUCUCGGAGUAGCGGUAAAAUGCGUAGAUCUCGAGAGGAACACCAAUGGCGAAGGCAGCUUCUUAGUCCACACCUGACGCUGAGGCACGAAAGCGUGGGGAGCAAACAGG
rnacentral:rRNA from 1 species